CCUACGGGAGGCAGCAGUGAGGAAUAUUGGACAAUGGGGGCAACCCUGAUCCAGCAAUUCUGUGUGCACGAUGAAGGUUUUCGGAUUGUAAAGUGCUUUCAGCAGGGAAGAAAAAAAUGACGGUAUCUGCAGAAGAAGCGACGGCUAAAUACGUGCCAGCAGCCGCGGUAAUACGUAUGUCGCAAGCGUUAUCCGGAAUUAUUGGGCAUAAAGGGCAUCUAGGCGGCCAGAUAAGUCUGGGGUGAAAACUUGCGGCUCAACCGCAAGCCUGCCCUGGAAACUAUGUGGCUAGAGUACUGGAGAGGUGGACGGAACUGCACGAGUAGAGGUGAAAUUCGUAGAUAUGUGCAGGAAUGCCGAUGAUGAAGAUAGUUCACUGGACGGUAACUGACGCUGAAGUGCGAAAGCUAGGGGAGCAAACAGGAUUAGAUACCCUGGUAGUCCUAGCUGUAAACGAUGAUUACUGGGUGUGGGCAUGAAGAGUGUCCGUGCCGAAGCAAAUGCGAUAAGUAAUCCGCCUGGGGAGUACGACCGCAAGGUUGAAACUCAAAGGAAUUGACGG
rnacentral:rRNA from 1 species